rnacentral:rRNA from 1 species
GACGAACGCUGGCGGCGUGCUUAACACAUGCAAGUCGAACGGAAAGGCGCUGCUUUUGUGGGUUUCUCGAUUGGCGCACGGGUGUGUAACACGUGAGUAACCUGCCCUUGACUUUGUGAUAACUUCAGGAAAAUCGGGCUAUUACCGGAUAGGAGCUCCUGAUGCAUGGUGGGGGUUGGAAAGUUUCGGCUGUUGGGGAUGGACUCGCAGCUUAUCAGCUUGUUGGUGGGGUAGUGGCUGACCAAGGCUUUGACGGGUAGCCGGCAUGAGAGGCUGACCGGCCACAAUGGGACUGAGAGACGGCCCAGUAUCCAACGGGAGGCAGCAGUGGGGAAUAUUGCGCAAUGGGCGGAAGCCUGAGACAGCAACGCCGCGUGCGUGAUGACGGCCUUCGGGGUGUAAACCGCUUUCGACGGUGACGAAGCGUGAGUGACGGUAAUGGGUAAAGAAGCACCGGCUAACUACGUG